rnacentral:tRNA from 2 species
GGGGAGAUUCCAGAGCGGUCAAAUGGGGCAGACUGUAAAUCUGUUGGCUAAGCCUUCGGAGGUUCGAAUCCUCCUCUCCCCACAA